GUGCCAGCAGCCGCGGUAAUACGUAGGGUGCGAGCGUUGUCCGGAAUUACUGGGCGUAAAGGGCUCGUAGGUGGUUUGUCGCGUCGUCUGUGAAAUUCCGGGGCUUAACUCCGGGCGUGCAGGCGAUACGGGCAUAACUUGAGUACUGUAGGGGUAACUGGAAUUCCUGGUGUAGCGGUGAAAUGCGCAGAUAUCAGGAGGAACACCGAUGGCGAAGGCAGGUCUCUGGGCAGUAACUGACGCUGAGGAGCGAAAGCAUGGGUAGCGAACAGGAUUAGAUACCCUGGUAGUCCAUGCCGUAAACGGUGGGCGCUAGGUGUGAGUCCCUUCCACGGGGUUCGUGCCGUAGCUAACGCAUUAAGCGCCCCGCCUGGGGAGUACGGCCGCAAGGCUAAAACUCAAAGGAAUUGACGGGGGCCCGCACAAGCGGCGGAGCAUGUGGAUUAAUUCGAUGCAACGCGAAGAACCUUACCUGGGCUUGACAUACACCAGAUCGCCGUAGAGAUACGGUUUCCCUUUGUGGUUGGUGUACAGGUGGUGCAUGGUUGUCGUCAGCUCGUGUCGUGAGAUGUUGGGUUAAGUCCCGCAACGAGCGCAACCCUUGUCUUAUGUUGCCAGCAAUUUGGUUGGGGACUCGUGAGAGACUGCCGGGGUUAACUCGGAGGAAGGUGGGGAUGACGUCAAAUCAUCAUGCCCCUUAUGUCCAGGGCUUCACACAUGCUACAAUGGUCGGUACAACGCGCAGCGACACUGUGAGGUGGAGCGAAUCGCUGAAAGCCGGUCGUAGUUCGGAUUGGGGUCUGCAACUCGACCCCAUGAAGUCGGAGUCGCUAGUAAUCGCAGAUCAGCAACGCUGCGGUGAAUACGUUCCCGGGCCUUGUACACACCGCCCGUCACGUCAUGAAAGUUGGUAACACCCGAAGCCAGUGGCCUGUUAAAGGGAGCUGUCGAAGGUGGGAUCGGCGAUUGGGACGAAGUCGUAACAAGGUA
rnacentral:rRNA from 1 species